rnacentral:snoRNA from 1 species
UCCCUCUCAGGGUCACACCUGGAGAGUUCCUAGUACUCUACCGGUCUCGACUACAGGAGGGAGAGUCAGACAGAGGCCUAUCCAUUCCAUUCCUAGCUGGAGCAGUGGUUAGCGAGUGGAAAGCAAUCUGCUCCAAUU